GACGGAAAAGGCUUUUGUUAUUUUUUGUUUUUCCCCCCGUUUUCCCUUUUUCCCCCUCUUUUUUUGGGGGGCGUUUUUUGUUUUUUUGGGUUUUCUUUUUUUAAGCCCUUAUUUAUUGCGCCCGGCGCCGUGGCCGUGCCUCGGUUCCCCCCCCCCCCAUGGGGACCCUCCCGUGCACGUGUGGCCUCGCUGCCACUGUCACACGCGUGACCUGGCCCCACCGCGGUGAUGGGGCAGAGCCACCGGCGAGGGACGGCACGGGGACACGGCACAGGGACACGGCAGGGACACAGCACGGGGACAUGGUAUGGAGAUGUGGCACGGGGACGUGGCACGGAGACGUGACGCAGGGAUGUGGCAUGGAGAUGUGACGUAGGGACACGGCACGGAGAUGAGAUGUAGGGACAUGGCCUGGAGACGUGACACAGGGAUGCGGCAUGGAGAUGUGACAUGGGGAUGCAGCGUGGAGAUGUGACAGUGCAGGGACAUGGCAUGGAGAUGCGACACGGAGAUGCGGCACGGAGAUGUGACAUGGAGACACGACGUGGAGGGACGGCACGUGGGGACAUGGCACGGGGAUGUGGCACCGAGGGACGGCGUGGAGAUGUGGCACCAAGGGACACGACGUGGAGUGAUGACGUGGGGACACGGCACGGAGAGAUGGCUCGGAGAGACGCGGCAUGGGGACAGGACACGGCAUGGGGUGACACGGAGGGACACGACACGGCUACGGCAGGGCAGGACGCCACAGGGACAGGACACGGAGGGCCACCACGGGGACACGGCCCGGAGAAGGUCCCCAGAGCUGCGGGGGGAUGAGGACACGCAGUGACAAUCAGCACCGGGCGGCUCCACGGCUGCGGCGAGUUGGGCCGGGCUCAGUGGGGCGUGGGGACACGCGGGGACGGCGGCUCCCUCCUGGGCAUGGGGACACGUGGGGACAUGU
rnacentral:lncRNA from 1 species